UUGCAACUAUAAACCAUACUAACAAAGCAAAUCUUUUGCAUAUAUAGUUUAACAUUUUUGGAGGUAUAACUUAAAAGUAAAUUUCUUUUUUUUUUUUUAAGAUUUUAUUUAUUUAUUUGACAGAGAGAAAUCACAAGCAGAUGGAGAGGCAGGCAGAGAGAGAGAGAGAGGGAAGCAGGCUCCCCGCCGAGCAGAGAGCCCGAUGCGGGACUCGAUCCCAGGACCCCGAGACCAUGACCCGAGCAGAAGGCAGCGGCCCAACCCACUGAGCCACCCAGGCGCCCCAAAAGUAAAUUUCUUUAAGGUCAGCCCGGAGAUUCUGCGUUGUUGUCACUAAGGGACCCAGACUACUGAAGUAUACAAAUGGG
rnacentral:lncRNA from 1 species